UACAGAGGGUGCAAGCGUUAAUCGGAGUUACUGGGCGUAAAGGGCGAGUAGGCGGUUUGUACAGUCAGGUGUGAAAUUCCCGGGCUCAACCUGGGGGCUGCACUUGAUACGUAUGGACUGGAGUGGGGAAGAGGGUCGUGGAAUUCCCAGUGUAGAGGUGAAAUUCGUAGAUAUUGGGAAGAACACCGGUGGCGAAGGCGGCGACCUGGUCCUUGACUGACGCUGAGGCGCGAAAGCGUGGGGAGCAAACAGG
rnacentral:rRNA from 1 species